UUGGAUUUGCAUACUAGUAUUGCGAUUGAUCGAGGAAUCAACUAUCUGGUAGUUGUAAUAAGUAUUGACUACGUCUUCAGCUACUGUAUUGAGCCUUUGAGGUACUCACUUCCCGUGGUAAUUCCUUAUCAGGAGCCUUAUAAUCAAUUUGCACAAGGCAUGGGCACCCGACAGUCUCCGUCGAUCUCCUUUCCAGCAUGGACUUCGCUCCGCAGUCUCCGGCCUGACGAAGAUUCAGAAGAAGCACUAAGCACCCGAGAAUGGUUUCGCGGAUCAUCGUGUCACUGAGGCAAGUAUCAUGCAACCCACGCAUGUCGUGUACAGGUUUGACUUUUACUUCGCCACCAGUUGUCACCCCAGCCCCAUUAGCCAAGUCAGUCAAUUUCACCGGUUACAUCACCUUGCUGUGAGUGAGACCGCUUGAAAUGUGCUUGGAUCCCACAUGGAUCCAGUUUUUGAAUUUUGAAAUUGUUGCUAUGCUGUGACGUAGCACUUUGAAGCCCGAUAAAGGAGGGAGGGAGCGUCUCAGCUUCCUCGGACCAAGACCAUUCCACUCAGCACCCCGAAAACUACAACUGGUGAAAAUCUUACA